rnacentral:lncRNA from 1 species
AUGGGCAGGCGCAGUGGUGCUGGGCACACGUGGAGCUGCGCGUGGAGGAGUCCAGGCUGCAGCCGAGGGAGCUGAGUAGGGCAAAGUUAGGAGUCGCUGUUUGGAUGGCAAGUUCAGAAGUUGGAACUUGUCUCAGUUUCCCCGCUCCAGAAAUGGGGUUGUGAUAUAAAGACAGGGAUAUGAGUGAAGAAAACACAGAGCCACCCUGGAAAGGCACCCUCUUACGCACAGUCGGAUGGUCUAUGGAGACUCACAAUCAUGUGCAAUCUGGAACAGGCCCUGUGCUAGAUGCUGGGGCAGUGACAGACCCUGAGUGGAUGGGAGGCAUCAGAGGGGUAAGUAGGAAAAAGCUAGGGGAAGGGAAGGAUCCCACAGAAGGGACUGCACAGGCCACCACAUGGAGACUUGAGAGAGAGGAGCAAACAGAGAACAUGAAGGAGCUCCAGGCUGCUGGAGAGCAAACCCUCCUACUCUUCCCAGAGAGCCAGGGAUCCCAAGGUGCAAAGUUUGGAGCCAGGGGCAGGCUGAGCCUCUGUUCUCCUAGUUCCAGCCUCGGCUCUUUAAUGAAAAUUGUCAGUCAAGUAAGACUCCGUCAUCACCUUCCAGCAAAGAAUGAGUGGGGAGAUCUGAGAAUCGAUACUGAACAGCUUCAGUACUACGAUGUCAUAAUGGGGCUGUGAGCUCAGCCGAAAGCCCCCCGCCCAGUUUUUUUUGGAAGUGGUCAUAGAAUCUCUCUGGAGAAACAACAUGGAAAUGGAGACCAAAAGAGGGAAGGAGGGAUGCCACCAGAUGACACUGGGAUCCCGGAAGACGGAACACUGUGUGCAACGGGCAAAGUGUUCUCCACAGGCUCAGUACUUUACAGACGUCACCUCACGUAACCCACGCCACAACCGGGAGAAAGACAUGAUUGGCGUUGUACCCACGAGGAAACAGAGAGGGAAGGGAGCUGUCCAGGACCACGGGAACUUUUCAAAAGGGAUUUCAACCUCUGACCACCUGGAGACAGGCGACUGGCGCUCAUUGUAAAUGCACCGACAUGACAGGGAACAGCUGCUGGGGAGGUGGAGACGGGUGCCGGGAGAGACAGGAAACCCCAGAGGCUUGGAAAUCCAGGAGCCACAGGAAGCAGUGAGCUUUCUGCGGAGCCGGAUCCGGUGGAGCCAAUUCACCAGCAGGUCCCGGCAGCAACUCUUCUACAACAGAUUCCUGCCCGUCCCUGUGCCCCAUCGCCCCCCUGCCGUCAAUCUCCACCUCAAGGGAGCCAGACCAAGCCUUUCUGUGUGUAGCGCACAUCUCUCCUGCGUAGAGCUCACCUAGUGGCUUCCAUAGCUUUUUUUUUUUUUUUUUUGGAGACAGGGUCUUGCCCUGUCACCCAGGCUGGGGUACGGUG